UUCAGAGCUUAUUUGUUUGAAACUUACCAAGAUUAUUAUUAUUUUUUUUUUCAUCAGGAAGUGCCUAGUCACAGAAAUUUGUGCCAACAAGUACCUGUUUCAAUGACAGCUCCUCCAGGAAACUUUUCUCGGUUUAUGGUGGGGGGGUGAAGAAAUAUCUGUUCAAUUCUACAGUUCCAUGCACGAAGCAGCCAUCACCAAGUUCUAUGAAGAGUGCCUCUGUACUGUGUACAAGACACACUGAAGGUUCUAUCUGUGAUCAGAACUCCAUCUGAAUUCCUGCUGCCUACACACAAACAUAUACUGCCUCUUGAGAUACCCAACACUUCCCAACAGGCCUGGCAGAUAUGACAUAGGAUCUGCAGGAGAAUUACAGCUUUCUUGAGUGAUAGCUAGAAGCCAGGAAGGACAGCCUCAGGAAACCCUACAAAAUACUAAAGAGCUGUGGGUUCUGAUUUUCUUUUGACAUUGUAAUUUAUUAUUAAACACAUGUUGGACUCCACAUAUUUGGGGAAGAGAAAGUAUUUGAAGAGAAUGAUUUUGCUUUCUUGUCAGAAAAGAAAAUACUGAAACAAGUUCUUUAGGAAAAUGGCAACUAGACUCUUACUAAUACACAGU
rnacentral:lncRNA from 1 species